rnacentral:rRNA from 1 species
GAGGCGGCAUCUAUACAUGCAGUCGAGCGGAAGAUGGGAGCUUGCUCCCUGAUGUUAGCGGCGGACGGGUGAGUAACACGUGGGUAACCUGCCUGUAAGACUGGGAUAACUCCGGGAAACCGGGGCUAAUACCGGAUGGUUGUUUGAACCGCAUGGUUCAAACAUAAAAGGUGGCUUCGGCUACCACUUACAGAUGGACCCGCGGCGCAUUAGCUAGUUGGUGAGGUAACGGCUCACCAAGGCAACGAUGCGUAGCCGACCUGAGAGGGUGAUCGGCCACACUGGGACUGAGACACGGCCCAAACUCCUACGGGAGGCAGCAGUAGGGAAUCUUCCGCAAUGGACAAAAGUCUGACGGAGCAACGCCGCGUGAGUGAUGAAGGUUUUCGGAUCGUAAAGCUCUGUUGUUAGGGAAGAACAAGUACCGUUCGAAUAGGGCGGUACCUUGACGGUACCUAACCAGAAAGCCACGGCUAACUACGUGCCAGCAGCCGCGGUAAUACGUAGGUGGCAAGCGUUGUCCGGAAUUAUUGGGCGUAAAGGGCUCGCAGGCGGUUUCUUAAGUCUGAUGUGAAAGCCCCCGGCUCAACCGGGGAGGGUCAUUGGAAACUGGGGAACUUGAGUGCAGAAGAGGAGAGUGGAAUUCCACGUGUAGCGGUGAAAUGCGUAGAGAUGUGGAGGAACACCAGUGGCGAAGGCGACUCUCUGGUCUGUAACUGACGCUGAGGAGCGAAAGCGUGGGGAGCGAACAGGAUUAGAUACCCUGGUAGUCCACGCCGUAAACGAUGAGUGCUAAGUGUUAGGGGGUUUCCGCCCCUUAGUGCUGCAGCUAACGCAUUAAGCACUCCGCCUGGGGAGUACGGUCGCAAGACUGAAACUCAAAGGAAUUGACGGGGGCCCGCACAAGCGGUGGAGCAUGUGGUUUAAUUCGAAGCAACGCGAAGAACCUUACCAGGUCUUGACAUCCUCUGACAAUCCUAGAGAUAGGACGUCCCCUUCGGGGGCAGAGUGACAGGUGGUGCAUGGUUGUCGUCAGCUCGUGUCGUGAGAUGUUGGGUUAAGUCCCGCAACGAGCGCAACCCUUGAUCUUAGUUGCCAGCAUUCAGUUGGGCACUCUAAGGUGACUGCCGGUGACAAACCGGAGGAAGGUGGGGAUGACGUCAAAUCAUCAUGCCCCUUAUGACCUGGGCUACACACGUGCUACAAUGGACAGAACAAAGGGCAGCGAAACCGCGAGGUUAAGCCAAUCCCACAAAUCUGUUCUCAGUUCGGAUCGCAGUCUGCAACUCGACUGCGUGAAGCUGGAAUCGCUAGUAAUCGCGGAUCAGCAUGCCGCGGUGAAUACGUUCCCGGGCCUUGUACACACCGCCCGUCACACCACGAGAGUUUGUAACACCCGAAGUCGGUGAGGUAACCUUUAGGAGCCAGCCGCCGAAGUGACUGAGG